rnacentral:rRNA from 1 species
AUUGAACGCUGGCGGCAGGCCUAACACAUGCAAGUCGAACGGUAGCACAGAGAGCUUGCUCUCGGGUGACGAGUGGCGGACGGGUGAGUAACGUCUGGGAAACUGCCCGAUGGAGGGGGAUAACUACUGGAAACGGUAGCUAAUACCGCAUAACGUCGCAAGACCAAAGUGGGGGACCUUCGGGCCUCACACCAUCGGAUGUGCCCAGAUGGGAUUAGCUAGAAGGUGGGGUAAUGGCUCACCUAGGCGACGAUCCCUAGCUGGUCUGAGAGGAUGACCAGCCACACUGGAAAUGAGACACAGUCCAGAAUCCUACGGGAGGCAACAGUGGGGAAUAUUGCACAAUGGGGGCAAGCCUGAUGCAGCCAUGCCGCGUGUAUGAAGAAGGCCUUAGGGUUGUAGAGUACUUUCAGCGGGGAGGAAGGCGGUGAAGUUAAUAACUUCACCGAUUGACGUUACCCGCAGAAGAAGCACCGGCUAACUCCGUGCCAGCCGCCGCGGUAA